rnacentral:rRNA from 1 species
UACGAAGGGGGCUAGCGUUGUUCGGAUUUACUGGGCGUAAAGCGCACGUAGGCGGAUCGAUCAGUCAGGGGUGAAAUCCCAGAGCUCAACUCUGGAACUGCCUUUGAUACUGUCGAUCUGGAGUAUGGAAGAGGUGAGUGGAAUUCCGAGUGUAGAGGUGAAAUUCGUAGAUAUUCGCAAGAACACCAGUGGCGAAGGCGGCUCACUGGCCCGGUACUGACGCUGAGGUGCGAAAGCGUGAGGAGCAAACAGG